rnacentral:rRNA from 1 species
AUUGAACGCUGGCGGCAGGCCUAACACAUGCAAGUCGAACGAGUUGCGGACGGGUGAGUAAUGUCUUGGAAACUGCCUGAUGGAGUGGGCUAACUACUUGAAACUGUAGCUAAUACCGCAUACCAUCAGAUGUGCCCAGAUGGGAUUAGCUUGUUGGUGGGUUAACGGCUACCCAAGGCGACGAUCCCUAGCUGGUCUGAGAGGAUGACCAGCAACGAUGGAACUGAGAAAGGGUCCAGACUCCUGCGGGAGGCAGAAGUGGGGAAUAUUGCGCAAUGGGCGCAAGCCUGAUGCAGCCAUGCCGCGUGUAUGAAGAAGGCCUUAGGGUUGUAAAGUACUUUCAGCGGGGAGGCGUUACCCGCAGAAGAAGCACCGGCUAACUACGUGCCAGCCGCCGCGGUAAUAC